rnacentral:rRNA from 1 species
UGCAAGUCGAACGAUGAUAGAGGGCUUGCUUUUCUUGAUUAGUGGCGCACGGAUGAGUAAUGCAUAGAUAAUGUGCCCCUUAGUUCAGGAUAGCCACUGGAAACGGUGAUUAAUACCGGAUACUCCUUCUUGUUAUAAGACAAGUCGGGAAAGUUUUUCGCUAAGGGAUCAGUCUAUGUUCCAUCAGCUUGUUGGUGAGGUAAUGGCUCACCAAGGCUAUGGCGGAUAUCUGGUUUGAGAGGAUGAUCAGACACACUGGAACUGAGACACGGUCCAGACUCCUACGGGAGGCAGCAGUGAGGAAUAUUGCACAAUGGAGGAAACUCUGAUGCAGCAACGCCGCGUGGAGGAUGACGCAUUUCGGUGUGUAAACUCCUUUUAUUAGGGAAGAUAAUGACGGUACCUAAUGAAUAAGCACCGGCUGACUCCGUGCCAGCAGCCGCGGUAAUACGGAGGGUGCAAGCGUUACUCGGAAUCACUGGGCGUAAAGGGUGCGUAGGCUGGCUUUUAAGUCAGAUGUGAAAUCCAAUGGCUCAACC